GGAGCCGCGGGAGCGGAGGGAGCAGAGGGCGGCUCCUGCGGCGGGCGCUGAGGGACACGCGCCCGCCCGCGGGGCGAUUGCCAGCAGGUGCGGGCGGGUCGAGGGACCCGUGGCACGAGUGUGCGGUGCGGGGCCGCCUGCAGCAUUCCUGCCCGCCCGGCCAGCGCCGGGAGCCUCCAGAGCCGGGAUCUCCGCACGGCCAGCGCCGUGAGCCCCCAGGGCCGGGGGACCCUCACGGCCAGCGCCGGCCCCGCUGCGCGAAGCGGUGCAGGCAGACAGGAAAACCCGGGCCCCGCGGAGGUCAGGAGCGAAUCGGGCAGGCGGGACUGCCGGCACCGGCCGCACGCCAGGAUCGCGGCUUCUCAGUCUUUCCAUGGAUAAGAAAUACUGAGCAUAGAGGAUAUGUACAACAUUGCCUACACAUCAGAUUUUGACUGCCUGUAAGAAGGAUCAUAGAGAAGUCUCAGCUGAAACAUGCAAGUGACAAGGGACUGCAACUGCAAGUACAGACAGCUGGUAGAAUUGUGUGCAAGUGUUGUCCUUGCUCUCCAUCAGUAACAUCCAGGAAAGCAGCACAGGUGGCUGGUGCACUGCCAAGUCCAAGGUGUUAACUGAAGUUGCAGUCUCAUAAGCAAAGAUUUUGUUGAAACAAAUCAAUAAAUAAAAAUAACUUACCUGGACCAGGUUCAAUUCCCCAAAGAGUCUGAUGAACCUCAGAUCUAACACUCGCAGAAUUAAAAUGAUGACGUGUGAGUUAUUGUUUCAAUUGGCCUUGGUAUUACAUGAGUGGAAGGUGGCAAAUGUGAUCCUAAUAACUCCUAAGGGGCUUGAAGGAGACCUGGAGAACUACUGGAGUUGAUUUGCAUCCUUGGAAAAUUGGUAGACACCUGCCUGCAUACAACAGUGAAGAUUCAGUACAGCUUUUGGAGAAGCAAGUCAUGUCUCGUCUUUCUGUAGGAGUUCUUGGAGAAGUCAAAGAGCAUAUAGAAAAUUGCAAGUCAAUCAAUAGGUUGUAUUUGGCUUUCCAAAAAGCUUUUGACAAGGUCCUUAGAGAAUACUUUUAAAGAAAUCAAAUUGUUAUUAAGAGGGACAAUUCUCUUGUGAGUGGUUAAAGGAAGGAAAGUGAAAAGGAAAAAUGGCCAGUUUUCACAUCAGGGAGAGGUUGCCAGUGCAGCUGUGUAGAGGUCUCUCCUAGGACCUGCACUGUCCAGCAGGCUCAUAAAGAGCCUCUGAAGAGAAUAAAAAGUGAAAUAAAGUAGCAAAAGAACAGGUUUCAGAAUAGCUUGGACUAAAACUGAGCAUGCAAAACUACAUUGUUCUAGUAGACAGUAAAACAGAAGGUGAAACUCAACAUUGUCAAAAGAAAGGAAUAAUUCUUCAGUGGAGGGAUAUUUUGGAUUCCCCUUUUAAAAUUCCAAAACUGCUGUUACAUCUCCAUACAUGUCUAUAAAAAUGUCAAUUUAAGGCUAUAUUGUAAUCAAAACGGCAAACACAAAUAUUGGGAAUUCUUAGGAAAGGGAAUGAGCAUCAAUAUAUCAGUGUAUAAAACCACUGACUUUGUCCUGUCUCAAAAACAUUACAUCACAACUAAGCAAGGUACAGUAAAGGCAAAGAGCUAUGAUCAGAUGUAUAGUAUGUACAGUCUUAGUAAACCCUAAAUAGACUAGGCCACUCCAGCUUUACAAAAAUUAUAGCCAUAGGGAGAUAUAAAUAGAAGUAUAUAAAAUAAGGGACGUGGAAAAAGUAAAAAAACCCAAUUAUUUUUCCUAAAGAACUUAGGAAUCACAGUGAUCAGGGGACAGACUUAAACCACACUUAACAUAUUGUAUUCAUUCAAAUAGUUUAAUUUAGAAUAGGCUUGGGGUUGCUUUGUAUUCCACUUGGAAACACAUGCUUUUAUUCUGAGAAAUGACAUGUUAGCAUGGACCUGUACGUGUGCACACUGAUAGCAACACAACACAAAUAACAGGUAUGUCAGCUUUGCUCAUUGUCUUGCUAGUUUGUUUUAUCUCAGGUUACUGUCUUGUGUAUGAGUGUAGUUUAAUGGAGUCUUCAUAUGUAAAUUAAAAUACACAGCACAGUGUUUACUGUGGUUUUGUACAGUACAUAUACAACCACACAGUUAUCCUAAUGUUAAAGGUACUGUUGCUGUCUGUCAAAAAAAAAAAAAUCAAAUUUGUCAGAAAUAGUGAUUUUGUGAAGCUGGUACUUUGCUCCUAGCAUGAGAUUAGGGCCCCAACAUAUUUUAUUAAGUUAGCCCAACAGUAAAAAGGUUCUUCAUUCUUAAUUACUUCUUCAGGCCCCACAAAACAACAUUCUAGAGUGUUUAUUAAAAUUAGACAGCUAGUCUUGCACUGCCUAGGGAAGAAAGUUAUUGCUUUUUGCAUAAGGACAUGGUUACGCAGUGAAUUCCUUAAUCUCAAUUACCUCUUGUGUAACUGGAUUACAGAGGAAAAUAUUAACAUGAGUAAUUUGUUUGCUGAUGUGCAACUCCCUCAUUCUGAGCCUUCUAACAGUACAAUAAGUCUUCGUCCAAAAAAUAAUUGGUAAAGUCUAUGGCUAAAGCAGCCAAUUAAUUUGAUUUACACUUACCCAUCUGAACUGAAGGUGACUAUCAACCCCAGGCAAAAAGCUCUGAUUUUAUUUCAGCAGCUAAGUAAAAGCUAAGAUCUCAAAGGAAGAACCAUGCACAAAAAAUUGCUCCGUGUAAGAUUAAUGUUUCAAGAACAUAAUAGUCUACUGACCUACCCCAGAGCAUCAGCAGCAAAGGCAGCAGAGAGGAUUACAGGAAUACCAGCAUACCAUGACACUCUUCUAACUGGAGCUGAUUUGGGAAAACAGAUCUAGGAAUUAAUCUUUGCGUUCUUUCACAUUGGAAGAAAACUGGUGCAGCUAUUUGGGAUAGAAGCUCUAUUUCCAUAUUCUUUUAAGAGAAUAGAAAGUACAGAGACACACUCUGCUGUGGAUAUGCAAAUAGGCUGGCAUAAUCCUAGAAAAAUAUGCAAUAAUUAAUGCAAAGUAAUCUUUAAUCAAAUAAGUAUACAACAAAAUGGAGCUAAAAAGAUCCACCUCCAAUAAUGCUGGUGAAUAACUAAAGUAGGAUGAAUAAUUCAAGCAAGAAAAUUCUGAAGUCACAUAAAUCUGAUAACUGCUGUUUUCCUACAUUUGUUUCCUUUUUUCACACCUCUGGACCUACUACACGCUAUUUUCUGAAAAUAGACUUUGUAAUGGCAAAUUAAUGAGCUUCUAUGAUACUGCUAUUUUAUCACAUCAUUCAUUUUUAUAUUGAAGAUACAAUAAAACAUUUUUAAAUUUGAAACAUCAAAAUAUGGAAAUGCCCAGUUUUAUUUCAAUGUUAGUAUUUCAUCAAACUAAUUGCUUUUCUCAGCAAUAUCCCAGUGAAGACACUACCCUGCAUUAGUCCAAUCCCUUUUCACAGAAACCUUCAGGUUGGAAAAGACCUUUGAGGUCACUGAGCCCAACCAUUGCCCCAUCACUGCCGAGUCCACCACUGCACUGUGUCCAUUAAGUGCUACAUCUACACAUCUUUAAAAUACCUUUAAGGAUAGUGACUCCACCACUUUCCUGGCUAGAUUGUUCCAGUGCUUGACAACCCUUGUGGUCCAGAAAUUUUUCCUCAUGUCCAACCUAAACCUCCCCUAGUACAACUUGAGGCAGUUUCCUCUGUUUCCUGUGAGGAGAGAUUGAAACAUUUCAUCACCAUCACCACCAUUUUAACAGGGAAGCAACAGUUCAGAUUUGCUGUGGAAGCCAAGUCAAUUUCUUUUUUUUUCUGGUGGGAUUGUUUUUACAUCAAAUCAUAUUUUCCAAGUAUUUUGAAUGUUUUGAUACAUUUUGUAAUGUACCUGAUCUAAUCCACAUUGUGUAUACAGUAACAAAACAUUCAUAGCACCUGAUUUAAUUAAAUAUUCAGUUAGUCUGUUUAAUUGUGCAUUUCUCUCUUGCUGCAAUUUUUUAAUUUCCUUUCAUAGAAAUUCUCCGUCUCUCUUUUCUACUUCCUUCUAUAAUACAGCCCUGUCGUGUAUCCCUGUUAGGAUGGUUGUAAUGAAAAUGUACAUCACGCUGAGGAUAUGUUUGUGCUACAGCUCUGUCUUUAUUUAAUUAAACACAGCUCCAAUUAAGUUCUCACAGUAAUCACCUCCAGUGUUUUGGGCUCAGAUUCUUCUGGCAGGCCCAUUUCCAGGGGAUAUCAGGAAUGGCAGAGUGGGUGAGAUUGGAUACUGAGUAUCUGAUACCUAAAUUUCCUGUUAUUCAUAAAUCCCACUUGAAGUAGGGUCUCCUUAUGGGUGUAGGAAAUUUCCAAGGGUCCUUAAAGUGAAAGGACAACAGCAAAGUGGGAGAUUAUGACAGUGUUUGUCAGUUAGUAUCCAGCUAACUCAUGCAGUAUGAUGUUGCUCCAUAUAUGAUUUUUAUCACCAGAUGGAGAAGAAAAAAAUAAAUCUGUUACUGCCUAUACAUUACUAUUUGCUGCUAAGUAAAAAUAUUCCUUUUGAUUCCAGCAGGUGUGGAUUUAAAGGCUGCCACACUGACAUUAAGGAUGACAGCUAUUCAGGCACACAGGAACGUGUUUUCAUGAAUAAGGUGCUCAGAUUUUUUUCUAAUGUGUUGUUUUCCCUGUGCUUAUUUCAAACACUCUCCCUUUUUCCUCUUUGACUUACAGUAGCUAAAUAAGAGACAUGUUUUGCAUAAUGAAAAGGCAAAAGAGAUUAACUCUAGGUCGCCUUUGCCUGCUGAAGUAUUUUGUCAAGUCCCAUUUCAAGGAGUCUUAAAAAAUCUUCUUAAAAGUAUGACUUUGAAGGAAUUUUUUCCUGUUGCAUAAGCUGAAAAUGCUUCUGAUAAUAGCAAAGGAAGGUUUAAGAACAGCAUUCAGGUCAUGACCCCUCUCAGAUAUAUCUUCAGAUGAGCAUGAGUUUGAAACUUCACUUGUAGUUUCCAUGAGUUACAUUGCCAACUGUUAGGGAUUUGGAAGGAUGUAGAACCCAGUUAAAGCAAAUAGCUCUGAUACUGCUUUAAAGAAUUUCUCAAUGACUGCUUGCAACUUACCAUAUUUCUUACAUUACUUCUGGAUAAGAAAUGAAAUGCUGGGGUGACAUAUUUGUUACAAUUCUAUAAGAAAGCUGUGGUAUAAAUACAAAUAAACUACAGAAUACAAAUUCUUUAAGAAAGCUGUGGUAUAAGUUUCAAAUAUAAAUAUACACACACAUUCAAACUCAAAAAGUCUGUAAAUAGUUUGUUUUUUUUUUUUUUUUUUUUUUUUUUUUUUUUUUUUUUUUUUUUUUUGGUGAAUACUGCACCAAUAGCAAAUCUCAUGUUUAGAAGGAAGUUAUUUUUCAGGAGACUUCCUGCUAUCUUUCUGCUAAGUUUGUGCAGAGAAGCCUCAUUUCUACAUAAAACUCAGUACAGGUAAGCAGCUGUGAUUUUGCUGGUGUCCAGAAUAUUGUCAUGUUCUGCAACAUGUUCUAGUACUGGCACUGCAGGAUGACAUCUUAAAAAACUCUCCAUUGUACCUAUCCUGAGUUGCAGGCUCUUGUUAGAAUUAAAAAUAAGUGGAAGGAAAAAACCAUAUUAAGAUUCCAGUGCAAUAAAGAGACAGCUGCUUUCUAUGCUAUUUUCUCGAU